GGAAAGGAUAGAUUCUUUCUCCAAACCAAUCCAACUAAUGUUUGUUCUUGCACAGCAAAUUUCCACGUUGCAAUUAAUGAGAGAUUUUUCUAUAUUUUUUCUUUUUUUCCAGCCGAGUCUCUGUCUGGUUGGAGAAAGCUAUAAAUCCUCAUGGACUUCUGCAACACCUAAUAAAAAAUUCCUAUACUCUUAGCAUAUAAGAAAAGAAUAUCUCACCAAAGACACGUGUACGGCUCUAGCUUCCCAAGUUGCUCGCUUAAGUCAAUUUCUCCCUUUCAAAAAAUCAAACCGGACGUAAAUUUUUAGUCCCUCAGUGGGUUUCUCAUUUUUCCUCCCUCAAUCGAUCGUCAGAAACUUUUUCAACAUGGGUACAAGAUCCAAACCCAUUACUACUGCUCUUUUCCUUUGCUUCCUUCUGUUGCCUUUGGUUUUUGCUGCACAUAAUGAUGGAUUGGUCAGAAUUGGACUGAAAAAGAGGAAGUUCGAUCAAAACAACCUUGUGGCUGCGCAGUUUGAGUCCAAAGAAGGAGAGUCAUUGCGAACUUCUUUUAAAAAGUAUCAUUUCCAUGGGAAUUUAGGUGAUGCAGAAGAUAUUGAUAUAAUAUCACUAAAGAAUUACAUGGAUGCCCAGUAUUUUGGUGAGAUUGGUAUUGGUACUCCCCCACAGAAGUUCACUGUGAUAUUUGACACUGGUAGUUCUAAUCUCUGGGUGCCCUCUUCCAAGUGCUAUUUUUCAGUUGCCUGCUAUUUCCAUUCCAGGUACAAGUCUGGCCAUUCAAGCACCUACAAGAAGAAUGGAAAAUCAGCAGAUAUCCAUUAUGGAACUGGUGCUAUUUCUGGCUUCUUUAGUCAAGACCAUGUAAAAGUUGGUGGUCUUGUGGUCAAGGAUCAGGAAUUUAUUGAAGCCACUAAGGAGCCCAGCAUCACGUUCUUGGUAGCAAAGUUUGAUGGUAUACUUGGACUUGGAUUCGAAGAGAUAUCAGUUGGAAAGGCUGUACCUGUGUGGUACAACAUGGUCAAUCAGGGUCUUGUUAAAGAACCUGUUUUCUCAUUUUGGUUUAACCGCAAUGCUGAUGAAGAUGAAGGAGGUGAGAUCGUUUUUGGUGGGAUGGAUCCCAAGCAUUACAAGGGUGAGCAUACAUACGUCCCUGUGACACAGAAAGGGUAUUGGCAGUUUAACAUGGGUGACGUCUUGAUUGAUGGUAAAACAACUGGAAUUUGUGGCAGUGGCUGUGCAGCAAUUGCUGACUCUGGAACUUCUUUGUUGGCUGGACCUACGGGCAUCAUUGCUGAGGUAAACCAUGCCAUUGGAGCAACUGGAAUUGUUAGUCAAGAAUGCAAGGCUGUUGUUGCUCAAUAUGGAGAAACCAUAAUUGAGAUGCUUUUAGCAAAGGACCAACCACAAAAAAUUUGCUCACAAAUUGGUUUGUGCACAUUUGAUGGUUCUCGAGGUGUAAGUGUGGGCAUUAAGAGUGUCGUGAAUGAGAAUAUUCAGGGAGUGGCUAGUGGUUUGCGUGAUGCAAUGUGCUCUACUUGUGAGAUGGCAGUUGUAUGGAUGCAGAAUCAGCUCAAGCUGAAUAACACUCAGGAGCGCAUACUUAACUAUGCCAAUGAGCUAUGUGAACGAUUGCCCAGUCCAAUGGGAGAAUCAGCAGUAGAUUGUGGUGGUUUGUCUACCAUGCCUAAUGUUUCAUUUACAAUUGGUGGGAAGGUUUUUGACCUCUCCCCUGAGCAGGUAUGAUUGAUCAUUUGGCUUUGUUGGGUUUGUCUGUAUUCCCAGAGCAUCACAUGUACCUUGGUACCUGUCAUGUUUACCCACAUUACUUGGAUUUUGAGUUGAGAAAUGAAAAUUGACCUAUGGAUUCAGAACACCCUACCCACCCCCAACAAAUAAAAUGAAAUAAAAUUAUUCAUUUCACUCUUUGGAGUAGCAUAAUUUUCCAUAAGCAAGCUUAUAUGUCACGUUUUUUAAGUGUUUCACUGGCUUGUAUAUUUUUUGUGAUGGUGAUAGUAUGUCCUCAAAGUGGGUGAGGGAGAAGCCGCCCAAUGCAUUAGUGGAUUUACAGCUUUAGAUGUGCCCCCACCUCGUGGUCCCCUCUGGAUAUUGGGAGAUGUUUUCAUGGGUCGCUUCCAUACAGUAUUCGACUAUGGUAAUAAGAGAGUUGGAUUUGCGGAAGCUGCAUAAAUAAUUAUCCCUCGUUCAUCUGUAUGCUUUUUACAUGAAAGUGUUUCGUGGCCGACCUUGACUUGCCAGAAUGUAAAUAUCAGAACAGUAAUGUGGCUUGUUAUGUUGUCAAACUAGUACAAUACCUUCACAUCUCGUAGUAUGAAGGUUGACAAUAUGAAUGUUGGGUCUUGGAAAAGAGCCUUAAAUAAUAGUAUAUGUAAAUUUUAUAAUCAUCAGGCAGCCCAGUGUGAAUGCCGUGUAUUCGUUAAGCUUAUCCGAAGCUAAUCCUAAAUCUUUUUAGGUGGGGGAAAGAAGAGGGG
rnacentral:misc_RNA from 1 species